AUUGAACGCUGGCGGCGGGCCUAACACAUGCAAGUCGAGCGGGGAGCAAUCCCAGCGGCGAACGGGUGAGUAACACGUGGGUAAUGUGCCUUCUGGUGGGGAAUAACCUUGGGAAACCAGGGCUAAUACCGCAUAUCGUGCUUCGGCAUGAAAGCCUUCGGGCGCCAGUAGAGCAGCCUGCGUCCCAUUAUUUAGUCCUAGUUGGUAGGGUAAUGGCCUACCAAGGGUACGAUCUGUAGCUGGUCUGAGAGGAUGGCCAGCCACACUGGAACUGAGACACGGUCCAGACUCCUACGGGAGGCAGCAGUGGGGAAUAUUGGACAAUGGGGGCAACCCUGAUCCAGCCAUGCCGCGUGUGUGAAGAAGGCCUCGGUU
rnacentral:rRNA from 1 species